CAGUGCUCUGAAUGUCAAAGCGAUGUAAUUCGAAUAAGCGCGGGUAAACGGCGGGAGUAACUAUGACUCUCUUAAGGUAGCCAAAUGCCUCGUCAUCUAA
rnacentral:rRNA from 1 species